rnacentral:rRNA from 1 species
ACGAACGCUGGCGGCAUGCCUAACACAUGCAAGUCGAACGAGACCUUCGGGUCUAGUGGCGCACGGGUGCGUAACGCGUGGGAACCUGCCCUUAGGUUCGGAAUAACUCCCCGAAAGGGGUGCUAAUACCGGAUAAUGUCUUCGGACCAAAGAUUUAUCGCCUUUGGAUGGGCCCGCGUUGGAUUAGCUAGUUGGUAGGGUAAAAGCCUACCAAGGCGACGAUCCAUAGCUGGUCUGAGAGGAUGAUCAGCCACACUGGGACUGAGACACGGCCCAGACUCCUACGGGAGGCAGCAGUGGGGAAUAUUGGACAAUGGGCGAAAGCCUGAUCCAGCAAUGCCGCGUGAGUGAUGAAGGCCUUAGGGUUGUAAAGCUCUUACCCGGGAUGAUAAUGACAGUACCGGGAGAAUAAGCUCCGGCUAACUCCGUG